rnacentral:rRNA from 1 species
GACGAACGCUGGCGGCGUGCUUAACACAUGCAAGUCGAGCGGUAAGGCCCUUCGGGGUACACGAGCGGCGAACGGGUGAGUAACACGUGGGUAACCUGCCCUGUACUCUGGGAUAAGCCUUGGAAACGAGGUCUAAUACCGGAUAUGACCAUUGAUCGCAUGAUCGGUGGUGGAAAGUUCCGGCGGUAUGGGAUGGACCCGCGGCCUAUCAGCUUGUUGGUGGGGUAAUGGCCUACCAAGGCGACGACGGGUAGCCGGCCUGAGAGGGUGACCGGCCACACUGGGACUGAGACACGGCCCAGACUCCUACGGGAGGCAGCAGUGGGGAAUAUUGCACAAUGGGCGAAAGCCUGAUGCAGCGACGCCGCGUGAGGGAUGACGGCCUCGGUUGUAAAGCCUACUUCAUGCAGGGACGAAGCGCAAGUGACGGUACCGUGCAGAAGAAGGCACCAGGCACUAACUACGUGCCAGCAGCCGCGGUAAUAACGUAGGGUGCGAGCGUUGUCCGGAAUUAUUGGGCGUAAAAGAGCUCGUAGGCGGUUUGUCGCGUCGGCCGUGAAAAA